GAUGAACGCUGGCGGCGUGCUUAACACAUGCAAGUCGAACGGUGAAGCAGGAGCUUGCUCCUGUGGAUCAGUGGCGAACGGGUGAGUAACACGUGAGCAAUCUGCCCCGAACUCUGGGAUAAGCGCCGGAAACGGCGUCUAAUACCGGAUACGACGCGCGAAGGCAUCUUCUGCGCGUGGAAAGAAUUUCGGUUCGGGAUGAGCUCGCGGCCUAUCAGCUAGUUGGUGAGGUAACGGCUCACCAAGGCGACGACGGGUAGCCGGCCUGAGAGGGUGACCGGCCACACUGGGACUGAGACACGGCCCAGACUCCUACGGGAGGCAGCAGUGGGGAAUAUUGCACAAUGGGCGCAAGCCUGAUGCAGCAACGCCGCGUGAGGGACGACGGCCUUCGGGUUGUAAACCUCUUUUAGUAGGGAAGAAGCGAAAGUGACGGUACCUGCAGAAAAAGCACCGGCUAACUCCGUGCCAGCAGCCGCCGUAAUAC
rnacentral:rRNA from 1 species